UACGAAGGGGGCUAGCGUUGCUCGGAAUCACUGGGCGUAAAGGGUGCGUAGGCGGGUCUUUAAGUCAGGGGUGAAAUCCUGGAGCUCAACUCCAGAACUGCCUUUGAUACUGAGGAUCUUGAGUUCGGGAGAGGUGAGUGGAACUGCGAGUGUAGAGGUGAAAUUCGUAGAUAUUCGCAAGAACACCGUGGCGAGGACGG
rnacentral:rRNA from 1 species